GAUAAUCUGGGCAUCUACCAAUGCACUACUAAACAAUUUCUGUGCUAGAGAAAAUAACAGUAUUGUAGCUAAUAAGGAUGUGCAAAAGAAUCGAAAACUAAAGACAUUAAUGAAGUAGUAUGUAGAGGGAAAUGAACAUGGAAUAAGAUGGAAAAACUCAGUGUAGUAAAUAUUACAGCUAAGCUUCAUUCUAAAUGCUCAUGCCAAGGGUAAUAUAUUAUGUUUGUUCUCAUAAAGUACAGUAGUGCAAAUUAACAUGGAAUAGGAUGGAAAUACUCAGUGUUGUAAAUAUUACAGCUAAGCUUCAUUCUAAAUGCUUAUGCCAAAGGUAAUAUAUUAUGUUUGUUCUCAUAAAGUACAGUAGUGCAAAUUAACAUGGAAUAGGAUGGAAAUACUCAGUGUUGUAAAUAUUACAGCUAAGCUUCAUUCUAAAUGCUCAUGCCAAAGGUAAUAUAUUAUGUUUGUUCUCAUAAAGUACAGUAGUGCAAAUUAACAUGGAAUAGGAUGGAAAUACUCAGUGUUGUAAAUAUUACAGCUAAGCUUCAUUCUAAAUGCUCAUGCCAAGGGUAAUAUAUUAUGUUUGUUCUCAUAAAGUACAGUAGUGCAAAUUAACAUGGAAUAGGAUGGAAAUACUCAGUGUUGUAAAUAUUACAGCUAAGCUUCAUUCUAAAUGCUUAUGCCAAGGGUAAUAUAUUAUGUUUGUUCUCAUAAAGUACAGUAGUGCAAAUUAACAUGGAAUAGGAUGGAAAUACUCAGUGUUGUAAAUAUUACAGCUAAGCUUCAUUCUAAAUGCUCAUGCCAAAGGUAAUAUAUUAUGUUUGUUCUCAUAAAGUACAGUAGUGCAAAUUAACAUGGAAUAGGAUGGAAAUACUCAGUGUUGUAAAUAUUACAGCUAAGCUUCAUUCUAAAUGCUCAUGCCAAGGGUAAUAUAUUAUGUUUGUUCUCAUAAAGUAGUGCAAAUUAACAUGGGAUAGGAUGGAAAUACUCAGUGUUGUAAAUUUUACAGCUAAGCUUCAUUCUAAAUGCUCAUGCCAAAGGCAAUAUAUUUUGUUUGUUCUCAUGAAAUAGGAUUUUAUACCUUGGAAACAGUAUCUGUUAGAAUUAGAUAUCCUCAUGACCAAAAUUAUACUCACUAUUAAAGGUGAUAUAGGUAAUGACACUCUCUCUCUCUCUCUCUCUCUCUCUCUCUCUCUCUCUCUCUCUCUCUCUCUCUCUC